ensembl:lncRNA
CAGGAAGCCAAAUAGAUUCAGGGUUUGUUUUGUUUCCUGGGAGAAAAACUACCUAGAAACUGGUCCUUUUUACUACCCAGUUCACAGUAUUUCCUGAGAUUAAUAAUGAUAUCUUGCAUUUGGGUGAUGCUUCAAAAUGUUUUCUUAAAGGUCUGUGUCAGAGAUUAGCUCACUUGACUCUCUAUUUUACAAUAAGGAAACUAAAGCUCAGAGAGGCAAAAGCUUGCCCAAUGUAUCACAUUCAGGAAAUGGGACCUCACAGAAGGGUACCCAGGCUUUCUAAUUUCGUAAGCCCUCUCAUCACACAGAGAAGACGGCAGAUCUACACCACUGAAAGGACAAAAGACAAAAGAAUGCUUGUGCCUCUGCCAGCCUAAUCCCUGGAAAUAAGACUUCUUUACUUCCGAGCGUUUUCCUGGGUCCUGCCUCGCAUCUGACCAGGGCAGGUGGCCUCCUCAUCACACUGCUGCCUCUGCUGUUGGCCCUGCUCAUGAAGCCACUAAACAUAUGGUCUCAGCUCUCUUGUCCUCCAAGAAAGACAACCACCACUGCUGCCUUUCUGAUCUCACGUAAGCCUGACCCUUGCUCUCCUCCAUCCAAAAAAUGAGAUAGACCCCUCCCUAACUUCCCACAGCACAACUAAGACCAGGUUAACAUGUUAACUAGACUUUAUUAAAGGUUUGGGCACCAUGGAAGGAAAGUACAACAAAGGCAGUAACUUACUAUUGCUAUAAAAGUGGUUAUUCUUCAAGUAGACAGGACCUCAGAUCUCUCAUUGGUCCAGCUUCAGGCUGGCUGACAUCUUGCCAGGAAUGUCUCAGCAUAGCCAUGACUCAGAGCCCCUUCCAAAUUCCUAGGACCAAAGAGAAGAUGCUGUUCACCUCGAUCUAAGGCCCUAGGUCCUCAUUUCUUGCCUCCCAUUGGAGCUCAUCCAAGAUGGUUGACAAUGAGAAGAUAAACUCUCUUCAAGGAAAACUCCACACCUAGCCAAGAAGCUGUGAUUUUGCUUUAGGAACCAUUGAAACUCAUAACCCUAUAACACCAUAACCCAACAGAGUUUUUCUGCCUUAAGUAAUACCUCAUGUGAAUGCAGUCAUUCAGGUAAGUGUGUGCCAGCCUUAGCCAGUCUAGCUUCUUUUUAGUAGUAACAUGAAGUGGAGGAAGAAUUGGGCCUGUAAGACCUUCAUACCAUCUUCUCUAUCCUUGUUUUCCAUUUCAAAUACUCAUAGAGCGAGACAGACGACUCUGCAAAUAUGCAGUCCUUGGUACUUAUAGUAUGGCUCACAUCCAGUUUGUGAACAGAAACAUUUUCUUAAAACACAUCUGUGAAAGCUCUUCUAAAAAAUUUCCCAAUUUACAUUAUUAAACCUUAACUUUCCAUUCUGAAGCAUUUUCUUUGGAAGUUUUUCAUCGAGUUCAGGUUUUUCUUCCAAACAAUGAUUUGGUACUCUUCUCAUUUUUCCCUAGGAACAAAGUAACAGGCUUCCUCAAGGACUCCAGCCAGAAUGUAGGACUUUCUCUUAAUUUUAAAAGUCUUGUGGAGACUGUAAAUAGCAGAGACACCAGUGUGAAGAGGGGGCCACGAAGUUUUAAAAAAUCUCAAGUUUUAGAAUCCAGAGGAUCCUUUAAGAAACUACUCUAAAAUUCAAUGGCUGCCUUAAAACAACAUGAUUUAUUCUCAUGAGUCUCAGUUGGGUGAGGCUGGGCUCCAGAGUCUGGGUUGUGAGCUGCAGGCUGCAUGUUGUGUUCAGGCCUGCCACGUGUGUCUCAUUCUGAGGCCUAGGCUGAGGUUCAGUGGCUACUGAAGCAUAUUCUUCUCAUGGCAGAUCCCCUCAGCUCAAAAGCUUACCUCAAGUGCACAAGCACAUUUCAAGCUUCUACUUGAGCCACGCCCGCUAACAUCCUAUCUGUCAAAGGAAGACAUAUGGCUAAGCCUAGUGUCAAGAGGUGGGGAAGCUCACUUAGCCCUCCCCUCCACAAAGCUGUUACACUUCUAUUACAGAAUUCUAUUACAGAGGAGCGGUAAUUAUGUCUAGUAGUUCAAUUUCCUUUCCUGGACCACCGCAGACUUUGCCUAGUUCUCUAACUACUCUCUCUUGUGUCCAGCCUUGCCCCACAUGCUCAUCAUUUAUACCUGAUUUGGUCACUCCUCUGCUUAAAUCAAUACUUCCAUUACAUGAAGAAUUGAAACUUUUUAGUAAGACCAAUGAGUUCAUCCCGGUUAGUUCUAUAACGUGUUUUAUUUCCAUUAGUCACUCUCUCUCUCUCUCUCUCCCCUCACCCUCUAAAGCUUUGCUUCCAUCUACCUGUUACUUCUCUGAACAUCUAAACGUUUUUAAGGCUUGUGGUUUUAUGCGUGUUAUUUCUUCUCCAGAAAUUUACUUUAUUUAUCAAACAAAAGUUUAUUAAAUGUCCGUGAUGUGCCAGGCACCUGGAAAGAUUAGAGGUACGUUGGAGAACAAAUUAGAAUUUGGUCCUUCCCUCGGAGAGCUUACGGGAGAGUGAGGAAAUGCACCUGCCCAGCCUUUUUGCCACAGUGAACAUGAGUCAUCUUUUAGGAUGCAGAUGUGAUCACCUAUGCCUUUCUCUGUUUUCCCCAGAGGGAGUUAAGUUUUUCCUUUUUAAUGUUCUCAUACCACUUUGCAUCAGUGCAGCUAAAUAAUAUUUUGAGAUACAAAUUAAUGCUUUUUUUUCUUUCUGUAUUUCCCCCUUUCCCCUCCUCCCUAUUCUUUGUCUAAGGAUGUUUUGGGGAAAGAAGCCUCCUUGCCUCUCCAAAAAACCACAUAAAGCCAUCGGGACCAUUUUCCUAGGUGACUGUAGGAGAAAUAUCAAGAUAAAGUGAUGUGCAACCAGCAGGGGAGAAUCCAGGUGAAAGUGGUGAAGAACAUGGGAACCUCUCUCCCAGGUGAAAAGAAUUUCCUGGCCUGGGGAAAGAAGGAAGAGAAAGAGAUCUGUAGGUCCUGGGAGCAGAGAGGACCUCUAUGCUCCUUUCGGCAAUGCCCUGAAUAUGAUCAGUAAUAGUAACAACAAUGACAAUAGCAACAGCAAUGAUAAUGAGAGCAGCUGACUGCUACUGAACACUGACUAUGUACCAGGAAUUGUGCUAAGUACUUUAUGUUACAUUACCUCAAUUUUGUCCUCACAACAACUCUGGGAGGUAGGUAAUAUACAUAUCUCCACUUUACAGAUGAAAAUCUGAAGCUUAGGAAAUGGAAGAACAUCUGCCGGAGGUCACACAGACAUGGCACGUUCAUGAUGUGAAUCCAAGUGAUGCUGAAGUCAGCCUUCUUAAACAUUCACAAUUCUGCCCCUCUUCAGUGAGGCCUCCAAGACCAGCUGCCUGGGGAACUCAGGCAGAGAAAGCUAUCUGCAGCCAGGUAAGAGCUUCUCGUUUCUCCUGCAGGUCACAGAGGUGGUUGAAGGCCCCUGGGCCUGAGGAGUCCUGCAGACAGGACAAACAAUAAACAAAGAUCAGAGGGCAAGCUCUCCACUCUUCUUUCCUCCCCAAUUCCAAUGACCCAGGUGAGAGGAUAGCGGAGAAGGAACUAAGAGUUACCAAGGGCAAAUUUUCUACUGGCCUGGAAGAUGUGGACUUGGUAUAAAAUGUAAUUCAGCAUAAUUACAGAAAAUAGCAAAUAUAUUUCUUGUGCAUACAAAUUUGUAAAGGGAGAUUUAUAUCCAUUACACAGAUUGUCUCUAUUUUCACUCUUAUCACUGCAUUAUAAUUAGAUUAUUUCGUGUAGAUUAUGAACAACUAUAAGUUAGGAAAUUUCUGUUGUUUGACUUUGUCAUCUAUACGUAGCAGAGUGCCAGGCUUAUGCUGAUUGAAUGGAUUAUUGAAAUAAUAAGAUUUGUCUAUUACUCUAUUUUUCCCCCAGCAAAUUCUGUUCACUUAAAAUGUUGAAGUCUUUAUUGUGAAUAUAAAGUCAGUUAACACAAAUAACUUAUAUCUCAAAUGUCCUUGCUCUUAGAGGUAUAUUUCCCCUGCCUUUUUUUUAUUUAUUUAUUUUUUUUACCUCUUUCUUUAUCCUUAAGACAAUCUUUUGAGAAUACAUCAGAGAAUGUAACAUGAAGACAUUUUUGGCAAAAUGUUCAUUAAUCACACUAUGUAAUUUCUAAGAGCAAAGGGUGCUAACAAACUGUAAUGACAAUCACUGCAGAAUUUAUCAAGAAAACAAUGGUGAUGACCAGAAAGAGGAAAUCCAUUCUCGGUAGAGGAAUGAUGCCGGAGAGAACGGCAACAAACGGGCUCAGCAGGAGAAGGCCUUACCACUGUCAAGGGCCAGAAAUCCAAUCACUGUCACCUGAGAGGAAAAUUAGCCAAAGAAUCAAGACUCCUCCUAGCAUUGAAGCAAUGUAACGUAAAUCAGAGCUGUUGUCGGUGUGUGUGAUGAUACAGCGACCCAGUUAGCACGCUGCCCUUCUUAGUCACUUCCUUCCUCUUCCUCCACCUCUUUCUGGUUCCUGAGCUUGGGUCCUGUGAGCUCUCCAAUUCUGUAGUCCCAUUCAUCUCAAGUAGAAUUUUUUUCUAUUGGAUAACUACCAAUGUUUACAGCUUUUAUUUGAAUUCAUGGAGAACGAUUAUGUCAGUAACCCAAAGUACCUGCCUAAACUUACAAGUCUGAACUAAAACUGUAAAGCAUUUGAGGAAAAGCACAGUUCUCAGGCUCAUUCCUUCGUUCACUCACAGACCAUCCAGUCUCCAUCUAUUGUUUACUAUAUGUUGGGCUCUGCUCUAGGCGCUGGAUUCGCAGAUUCGCUGGGAAGACAGACAUGUGAAUAAAUUCUCUGUGCAAUAUCACGGGCGCUAGAACACAGGCCUUCUACAGGUCCAAGAGCACAGAAGGGGGAAGGUAAUACAGAAAAGAGGGGAGGACGUUUGAGCUGGAUCUGGAGGAGGAUAAUGAGUUUGUCAACUGGCUCAGGGAGAAAAAGCCACCUUGGGAAAAAGAACAGCAUUUUCAAAAACCUAGUAUCAUGAAAGAGCAUUGUGUAUUUACGGAUUGGGAAGUGAUUCCAUGUAUUAGGGUGGAGUGUGGGAAGAGAAGAGUGGGAGAUGAAGCAGGGAAGAAAGCAAGGCUGUGAUUGGCUCUGUAUGCUGUACUUAACCAUUGAGAGAUUUUUACAGAUUUUACUGAUAGGGUUAGUUUUUGAUGGAAGCUAGUUAUUCUGUUGGCUACUUGGGCACUCUUGUGAAUAUGCUAUUUCUCUUCUCUGAUGGCCAAAUGAUGCUAGUGCCAGGGUGGGGACAGCUGAACCCAGCAGGAGAAAAACUAGAUAGGGUGCAGAGCUGGCCGGUUUCUACUAUAUAGAUCCGCACAUGAUGGUAUCCAGGAAUGCUCUUGACUGACUUGGAUUUGGCAUGUGUGUGUGCAUGAUGAUAUUUGGGUCUAUAAUGGGCUGGGGUGGAGGAUAAAUCCUGGAGCUCACUCAGGUACUAGAAAUUCUUAAUUACGCUUGUGCUCACGACUAUGCCAACAGAGUUGCCCUUCAGGUUCCCUCGAGACAUGAGUAAUAGGUGUAAUAUGUGAAUGUUUCUCUGACCUCCCCCUCCCUCAGUAAAUGGGGGAGUAUUUUAGUCCAAGAGAAAAAGGGAAACACAGAGGAACUGGUGUGAGAGAUAAAAUCCUUGAAAAAAAGUCCUUGUUAGUUUUUCUCAAAGGUUUAAUCUUUUUUCUCGAAAUUAGUCAGCAUGGCAGAGUGGUUAAGAGCAAACUUUGGAAGGAGAUUAUUUUAGGCUCUUAUUCUGACUCUAUCAAUUAACAGCUGUGGGACCUGUGGCAAGUCAGGCAGCAUCUCUUAACCUAAUUUCUCACCUGUAAACUGGGCAAAAUAACACCUAUGUGCAGAGUAGUAAGAAUCAAAUGAAGAAAUGAGUGGAAAGUACUUAGCAUAAUACCCAUCACGUGGUAAUCGUGGACUCCAUUAGUCUUUGUGAGAGAUUUCCUAUCAAGCAUCUUUUUGGAUCUGAUGGUACCAGCUUUGCUUUGUAAAUAAACUUUUUCUUGCCUGUUUCCAUGUGUAAUAUGUCCUGUUCAUAUGUGACAUCAUCAACCUUUGGCCCUCCUCUCUCUUCUAAUGGUUGCUGUAAGGAACCACGAGACUCUGUUCCCCUUUCUGGGCAGCUCCUCUGUCCCACUUUUUGUUUCCAUUUUGACACCUUCGUGCCUGCCUCUAGACAGUUCUGGUUCAUCAAUAAUCAUGUCUAAGCAGUAUUUUUUGAUCUGUGAAAUAACACGGUAAUAAUUAAUAUGACUCUAUAUUUUGUGUUUCCUCCUAAGAACUGAGAUCUUCUUUCAUUCUUUUUAAGUUGACUCCUGAGUCACGAACAUUAGAAAACUGAAAACAAAGUCUCUAGAUACAGGGUAGCGACUAGGCUUAAAUACUUAACCAUCAUACAGCCAAUUAUUAUUAUUUUUUUUUGCUGAGGAAGAUUAGCCCUGAGCUAAUAUCUGUGCCAAUCUUCCUCUAUUUUGUAUGUGGGUCACCUCCACAGCAUGGCUUAACGAGUGGUGUAGGUCUGCACCUGGGAUCCAAACCUGAGAACCUGGGCCACUGAAGCAGAUUGUGCAGAACUUCACCACUACACCAUGGGGCUGGCCCCCAAAUAUUAUUUCUGACACUAGAAAAUUUGACAUUAGAAUGAUAAGAUUGGAAAUACUUGGCUUGUUAUAUCUCAAUAAAGAUUAUUUGCAUUCAAACUUGCAAUCAGGAAUUACCUUUAAUUCUUUAGGCUUUUUCCAAAUAUCCAAGAAAAAGCUACCACUUGCCAAAGAUAAGUUUUGCAUAAUUAUAAUUUAGCAUAGAGAAGAUGGGAUUUUGAAUUAGAAACCUAGGUUAAAGGAUCAUGCAUAUUCUGGCAUCAUUUUUGGUUAACUAUUAACUUGUCUCUCAGUUCUUCCAUCUAAAAUGGAAUCAACAAACCCUCACUAUCUUUUGUUUAUAGGAAAGUAGUAAAGCUGAAUAAAGUACUAUACAUAUGAAAGCAUUCUGACUCCUUGGAGGAAAGCUAUUAUUUAAAUUCGAGGUAUUAUUACUGGCAAUGAUAAGAACAGCAGGAAUAUGCAGACUGCUUAGUUUAUCCCUUGACCUUCUAUGAGCUUCGGUAGGCAGCUUUGAGGGUUCCUGUACAUUUCAUUGUCACAGUCGUAAAGCUGACAGGAGAGCCCUCAGUUACAUGAUGGAGGUGGAAAAGGUUAUGCUAUUACAUGGGGACAGCAUGGACAAUGUCAUGUGGAAUAUGCUGCAGAUAAAGAUUUAGAAAACCAGUUUAAGUUCUUGUUGCCAUCUUUGAGGUCUCAGCGUUAUUCAUAACAGGACUACCAGAGUGUAGAAUGUGAGGCCUUUUCUACCUCAAUUAAAAAUAGGAAACUUAGUGUAAGAUGUGUGUGUGGGCAGAAUGAAUAGUAAGAACUGGCAGGGCCUGUUCCACCCUUCCUUCCUUCGUAAUCUGAUCUAUAGUAUCUUUUCUAUUGUUUUCCAGCACAAAUCUCUAUUCUUUGUAUCUCAUAGUGUCUUAAUAUUCUGGACUUUCAGUGCCUUUAUAACAAGUCAUUUAGGUUUUAAUUUUCUCAUGACUCAGUUCAGUAAAUAUCCCGAUGAGUAUAAAUAUCUUUAGCUUUGUGUUGAAAUCUUUGUUUUGCUUUGUAAGCCCAAUAUUAUCUUGUAGCAGGUGCAGAUUCUGUGUUUUCUGAGUUCUUAACAAACAUAAAUCCCUAGUGGAGAUAUUUUUCAUUCCCUGAAUGCCUUUGUUCUGAUAAUGAUGCUUAUAAAACACAGACAGAUCCUUCCUAGAUUCCACCGCUAAGCAUAUAUUUCAAGAAAAGCCAGUGUUCAUCAGGAAGUGGGGAACUGCCUACGGGUUUUUGGAGAUACAUGCGUACAUCUUUGAGUAAGUUUGAUCGAGAUAAAAGCCACUUUAUUUAUUGCAACCCUCUGGCUUCAGUGCGGUUCACAGAAAGUGUGUCACACCGUGAAACUGUUCGUGCCCCUUUCUGUGCUCCUAGAGUCAUUUAGUUGUUAAAACAUAAUUUAAAAUGAUAAUUGCUAGAAAUGGGAUUGUCAGGGAAGCGUUCCAGGGUAGCUUUGAGAAUAAAUACAGAACAUUUAUAAGCACACUUUUUAAAACCGGUUUCCCAGACUCUACUUAAGAGAUAUCCAGGUGAGGGAAAAAAUGAAACCAGUAUUUUUUCCCAUUCACGUAGUCUGCAUCAUAAUUUUCCAGAAGCAAGCGUCUGUUUGCAAAUAACAGAAUGGUGCCCUGAUGCCUCUCUCUCUGUGUUGCUGAUGGAAGUAAUGAUACGGGUGUGGAAUCUCAGAGGCUAAUGCUUGUUAUGUUAAUAAGAUCACCUCUAGUAUACCUUGCAAAUUGCUAGACACAGUGACAGAUUCUGCCUUUACAACUUUCUCUUGCAGGUUUAGAAAGUUGCCUACCCAUCUUAAAGUAAAUAUAAGCGUAAUAAGCUCCUACCAACUAUUCAGGAGAAGCUUGUUGGGACUCUCAGACUCAUGGGACCGAUCUUUAAAGGAGUAGAUGGAUGCUUCUAUCUCUAUCUCCAUUCUGAUCUUGAUCCAGAGCUGGCAGCUCACAUUUCCCACUGCUGGUAGCCAUUUUCUUGUGAAUGCCUCUUUGUUGCCUAAAAUGCUACAUGGCUAAAGCUAAACUCUAAAUUUGUUCAUGUGUUUAUUCUUUACUUCACUUAGUCGAUUGACAAAAUCUCUCAAAUGUUUUUUCCCUCGCUUCCUUCCUCUCUGUCCCCCUUCCUCUCUCCCUCCCUCCUUCCUUCCUUUUAUCCAUCUGUGCAUUUAUCCAAGCAGCAUAUAUUAAGAGUACCCUCUAUGUGGAUCCCUGCAGCUAUACAGACAUCAACGAGGCAACCACAUGAUUUUCUGUCUUCCUUCUUUGCUGAUAGAACUAUUUAAGGGUCUUCUAUCUAAAUCUUUAUUUUCAGUUUCCCUUAUCUUUUUCUCGUCGUUUUCCCACCAACUUCCUAUCCAUCCACAUUGUCACCAAAUUAGUCUUUUGAAAAACUUUUCUUUGAAUACAUCACUCUGUGUUUAAAAAGGCCUUUAUUGGUUUUUAUUUUCUGCAGGAGAAUGGAAGUGGUUUGGGGCUGGGGGUGGGUGUGGGGAGAAGCACUUCUUUCCUCCUCACUCUCCUCAUGCCGUGCCUGCUGUGUCUUUCCAGUGGAUGGCCUCUUCACCGACUUCAUCAACUCCCCACCCCAGGACCACUGACGUGUUCAGUCCCUUCUGAAUAAGCUGUGUGCCUUCCUAGUGCUACGCCUGGCUCAUCUUUUUCUAAAUCACCCCCCUAGCUAUCCUACCAAUACAAAUUCUGCCUUAUCCUUCAAGAUUCGAUUCAACCUUGAUCCACAAGACCAGGGAUUUUUUCUGUGACCAUAUUUUUUCUGUGAAGGCCUGGAUAGUAAAUAUUUCAGGCUUCUGGGCCAUACAACCCCUGUAGCAACCGUUAAACACUGUUAUAACAUGAAUGGAGACAUAGAGAAAAUGUAAAGAAAUGAGUGGGGCUGUGUUCCAAUAGAACCCUGUGGACAUUGAAAUGUUACUUUCAAACAAUUUUCAAGUGUCAUAAUAUAUUACUCUUCUUUAGAAUUUCAUCCAACUGUUUAAAAAUAUAAAAAAGCCAUUUAGCUCAUGGGCCACAUAAAAAAGGUGGCAGGUGGACUUGGCCUGUGGGCUGCAGUUUGCAGUCUCCUGUUCUGGCAGAAGAUUCUCUCAUGUAAUUCCUUGUGGUAAAUCGUCUGAAUCAGGCACUUGGUGCGCAGGGGACGUUUUAUAUACUGACCCGCACUGCAUUUAAGUUCAUGUUUAUCACCUUUACUCGGACCAGAAUCCGUGGAAGCAGGGUCUUUAUUUCAUAAAUUUUCCUGUUUCCUCAGCUUUCAUGUAAUUAGUGCUCCAUGAAACUAUGAUGCUGUGAGUGAUUCAAGCAAGCUCUGUCAGAUGAGUCUUUCUGCCUCUGUGUUUAAGUCAAAGUAAAUAAGAACAUUUUUUUACCAGAUAAUUUGUUGCAGAAUUAUCAUCUCUUUCUUUGUAUGUGUUCAUGUGUGAAUUUAAAAUGCAGCUUCUUGUAAAUUAGAGAAAUACGUAUGACAUACACUUAUUUUUUUAUUUAUAAUCAGUAUAGCGUUAAUAUGGAAAUAUUUGCUUCUGUGGCAAAUAAAAUAAAUUAGGAAAACAACAUGACGAAAUUAGGAUAGCAGAGCUUCCAAAAUGCAUUUUUAGAACCAGGACAGUGAAGGUGACUUCCCUUAAGACCUCUUAGGCUGCCAGGAAACCAGCAUUACUCAGUACUCCUGUGGACCCCAGACACUGUAGUUACAGGUGGUCCUGACACACCCCGGUGUCUGUGGUCUGCCCGUGUUCAUUGCUGGCAGAGCUGAGGCCACUGAACAGGUCAUAGCUAUCACGGUCUUUGCAAAUAGUGCCGGCCUUCAAUUUAAGAAACAGUUGAAUAAAAAGUUGUGCAUUUGGUUAACUAGAAAGGUAAGUAUUUCCAGGUAUUAAAAGCAUGCCACAGAGGAAGCAAGGCCAGGCACUUCUCCUUUCAUUAGCUUUAUAACCCUCAGUCUCAAAAAAAGGUGCUACAGAUACUCCUCCGAGUAGAUGGGGGCGUGGGAUGAGCUCUGCAGUUCUUUUGGUUUUUUGUGUUUGUUGGUAGUUUUUCAGGCCAGCUGGCUAAGCGCGGACUAUUUCUAGCCUAAAGGAAGCUCUGAGGGAGACCUUGUGAUUUAGUUGCUAAGUAAGUAUUUCUGCAGAUGCUGUUAUCUUUAGGUAAUAAUGCCCUACUUUGCAAAUGAAACUAUGCAUUUAUUUUGGAGAAAAAGUUGGAUUUCUGAAAUCUUGAGUUUUCUAAUCUGGGAUUCUGUUAUUAACCACUGGUGGAUCUAAAGAUGCUGGCCCUCCUUUGAAAAGUAAGGUAUUGGCCUAAAUGGUGUGCAAAUGUCUCUCUGGCUUUAUGACUCUGCUUGUGUUUGAAUGCCUCCUAGGAGAGAGAAUAUCCUGGUUUCUCAGGCUGAAUGGAGAAGAGACUUCCUGGUCUAGCUGUGUAGGGUGGAACUCUCGACACACAUGAGGUGCAGACAUGGGACCCUCUUCAUACAUAACGGAAGCUACUCACUGUCAUUUCGAUCACUUGGGCCCUUUUUGCAUGCACUUCCUGCUUCUGAGAGGCCUUGCUUAUGAAAAGGUAGAAUAAACUCUCUGGUUGGUCACCAGUGGUUAUAAUACUUUAAAUAACUCAGAUUACUUUGGGUUAAGCAGGAUUGAAAAAUAUUAUUUUUCUUGCCCGUGGGAGCAAAUCAGGCAAGAUUUAUUUCUAAUCUCUCACUUGCUCUCUUUUCUGAAACUCAGUUUUGUGUCCUUGCUCUCCUCUUUUUUCUUUUCUUUUGAAAUCCAGUUUUCUGCCUUAUAUUAGAGUUGAGCGGUUUGUAGGUUGAGUUGUUUAAUCCGGACAAAUAUGACUUCCUUGGCUUUCUUGAUUGUUCUGACCACAGUUAUGCUGGCAGAACUGACCCCCCCCUCCCCCGGCCUUCUAGGGUACGCUGUGGGGACACGAGCAUAACUGGGGAGUCAGACCUAUUUUAAAAUACUAAUUUCAUUGUUGGCUGGUCAUAGUAAACUGGCAAAAUCAUUUCACCUCCCUGAGCCUUAGUUUUCUAGUUUUUUUAAAGACUAAAUUAAACAGAACAUACAAAUAAUCUAACACACUAUUUAACUCGGAGUAGGAAUACAAUAAAUAUUACUUCUUGGCCCCACACCCUCACUUAGGUCUUUUUGCUGUUACUGUUUGCUGCUGUUGUUAUAGUCUGGCAGCCGGGUAGUUGUUGAUUUUCAUGACUAAAAUAGUUUUUUACAGUGAGAUGCACUUCCAAGAAUCUUAGAAUUCUUACUGGUUGCUACACCCUCUACCCUCACCCCCAACGUUAACAAAACGUGAAACAAAUAGCUAUUCUUUUGCAUAGUUUUCUUACAAAGAGAGAGCUAGAACUAAAAAGUAGUUAAAUUUGAGGCUGCAGAGAGGAAACGAAGGAGGUGGGAGUAGGACCUGAAAUUCUUGCUUUUCACAGCGUUAAGAUAAGCGUUAUAAGAGCAUGUUCUCUCCUUGGAAUGUCUUAUCACCUAUUUUGUGUAAAUAUCCAGAGACAUGGUUUGACAUUUUGUUUUCUUAAGAAAAAAAUCUCACAGAAAAUUUUAGGCUGCUAUAAUUUUUUAGUGCAUGGUAUGUUGUGCUCCAACAUAGAAAUUUUAAAAAACAGUUAAAUAAAGAGGCCCCCAAAUCUCUUCACACAUAACACCUGACACUAGCUCUUCUCCGUCUUAAGUUCCAAAGUGAACUCUCAUUUCGUGUCAGUGAGUAUUGGUGCUUUAGCACAAUAGAGAUGUUCUCUGACUAGUGAUCAUUUUCAGUCUUUACGAACCUUGAUUUUUUUUUUUUAAAGAUUUUAUUUUGCUUUUUCUCCCAAAGCCCCCCGGUACAUAGUUGUGUAUUUCUUUUAGAUAUGGGUCCUUCUAGUUGCGGCAUGUGGGAUGCCACCUCAGCAUGGCUUGAUGAGUGGUACCAUGUCCGCGCCCAGGAUCCGAACCCGUGAAACCCCGGGCCACCGAAGCAGAGCGCGCGGACCCAACCACUCAGCCACGGGACCGGCCCCUACAAACCUUGAUUUUAGAGUCUCAGUUCCUUUAAAAUUUUGGACAUGAACCCACCUGAACAACAACUACCAAAACUCCUCCAACUGGCUUCCAUUGCUGAACAGAUACAUUCCGAUUUCUCUGACAAGUAAAUGUAAAGUGUACAAUGAACCUGACCAGUGCUUUGACAAACAUCGUUGAAGUGUAAUGAGAUCUCUUUACGCUUUCUUUCUUUUCUGUUGUUACUAGGGCUUUCUUGUAAAUAAAUAAACCGCAUUAGUCAGUGUUGAGAAGACAUUCUCUCGUUCAUUAACUGGGAAAGGUAAAUUGAACUUAGGUGCUUUAAUUUCAGAAAAUUGUUUUGCUAAAAUUUUCUUAAUUUAUGUAACCUUUAUCAUAGGACACUCAUUCGUAAUUUUUUACUGUAAUGGUAUAAAAAUGAAAAUACCUUUUGAGAUCAUUACCCUAGUCCAUAUCUGUUAUGGGCUCAAUUGUGCCCCCCAAAAUUCCUAUGCUGAAAUUCUAACCCCUAGUACCUCAGAAUGUGACUGUAUUUGGAGACUGGGUCUAUAAGACGUGUUAAGGUAAAAUGAGGCCGUGAAAGUGGGCCCUUAUCCAAAAAAACUGGUGUCCUUCGAAGAACAGAGGGUUAGGACAGAGACGCACACAGAAGGAAGACAGUGUGACAACACGGGGAGAAGACGGCCAUCUGCAAGUCAGAGAGAGGCCUCAGGGGACAUCAACCCUGUGGACGCCUUGAUCUCUGAUUUCUAGCCUCCAAAGUCGUGAGAAAAAUAAAUUUCUGUCGUUUCAAUCACCCAGCCUGUGGUACUUCGUUAUGGCAGCCCUAGCAAAUUAAUAUAAUGUCUUAAAUUUGGCAAUAAUACUGUCUGACAGAGUAAGAAUUUCCUGUGUGAGUCUUUCCUUCUGCAAAAAUUAUCUUUAAUUCUUUUUAAAAUAAAACCAAAAUGUGACUGGCAAACUUUCUGUGCAUAAGUAUAUUAAAUAUUUUUUUCUGUAUGGACGAGUAUUCUUUUUGUUUUACUUUUUUUUAUCGCAGUAACAGUGGAUUAUAACAUUGUAUAGCUUUCAGAUGUACAUCGUAAUAUAUUUUGAAUUCUGUGUAGAUUACAUCAUGUUCACCACCCGAAAACUAAUUAUGGUCUAUCACUUCACAUGUGAGCCUAAU